CGAGGUGGAGCGAAUCCCUAAAAGCCGUCCCAGUUCGGAUUGCAGGCUGCAACCCGCCUGCAUGAAGUUGGAAUCGCUAGUAAUCGCGGAUCAGCAUGCCGCGGUGAAUACGUUCCCGGGCCUUGUACACACCGCCCGUCACACCAUGAGAGUCGGGACACCCGAAGUCCGUAGUCUAACCGCAAGGGGACGCGGCCGAAGGUGGAUUCGAUAAUUGGGUGAAGUCGUAACAAGGUACC
rnacentral:rRNA from 1 species